UCAUAACAACUUGUAGAAAAAGCAUUGUUUGGUGAAAUUCUUGUGGUUUUAUUGAAAAUGUUAAGAAAAUUUUAAUUUUUUGGAGAAUUUAAAGAAAAUAAUUAAAUUGCCAGAGACUGACUAGGCUCAUCUAUAGACUAGUCUAUAGAUUUAUAAACCAGUCUACUGGCUCGUAUAUUGGCUCCUAUAUAUGGGCUGAUAAUUUUAGGCCAUACAUCAAUUCUAUAGAAUAAUUUUAAAUCAUGUCUCAUUUAUUGAGAAGAAUAAUUAAUUGCAGCAUUAAUGUGCUCAAUUUCACUUACUGCAGAUAAUUUCUACAGCACCACUGUAAUCGUGCAGAUUUGUCAAAUCUAAUAAUAUUACUGGAAUUAGUAAUGUGCUGACAAUGAAAAAUUGCCAGCACAAUGUAGAUUUUAAAGUUCCCUUAAUUCGUAAUAUAUCUCAUGAUAUUUUUACCAUAAUAUGUCCUCAUCCAAGUCGUUUCAGAAUUUGUGGAAGUAUGAAGUCUCUAACAUACACCUAAUCAAAAUGAUGCUACAAUAAAACUGGUCAAAGGAGAUCUAAUUACUAAAACCUUUAGUAAUUACAACAAACUUUAAAUGAAGCAGAAGUAAAAAGAAAGAAGUAAAAAAUCUAUAAAAUUAAUGGACUUGUGAAACAAAUCUAUGAAAAACGCUAUUCUCAAAGAUAUAAACUAAAUUCAGUCUAAACAAAAACCUUAUUGAAGCCAAUUUUAGAAACCAAUUAAAAUAAACAUAUUUUUCUUUAAUGUAUCAAAA